rnacentral:rRNA from 1 species
GAUGAACGCUGGCGGCGUGCCUAAUACAUGCAAGUCGAACGAGGUGCUUGAGUAGCAAUACGAGAGUAUCCUAGUGGCGAACGGGUGAGUAACGCGUUGGUGACCUACCCCAAAGUGUGGGAUAACAGUCCGAAAGGAUUGCUAAUACCGCAUGUGGUCUUCGGGUUUAGAAACCGAUGACGAAAGCAGCAAUGCGCUUUGGGAGGGACCUGCGUCCCAUCAGCAGUUGGUGAGGUAACGGCUCACCAAGGCGACGACGGGUAGGGGACCUGAGAGGGUGACCCCCCACAAUGGAACUGAAACACGGUCCAUACACCUACGGGUGGCAGCAGUAGGGAAUAUUGCACAAUGGGCGAAAGCCUGAUGCAG